rnacentral:rRNA from 1 species
UGGGGAAUAUUGGACAAUGGGGGAAACCCUGAUCCAGCAAUGCCGCGUGUGUGAAGAAGGCCUUAGGGUUGUAAAGCACUUUCAGUGGGGAGGAAGGAUGAGAUAUUAAUACCAUUUCAUUUUGACGUUACCCACAGAAGAAGCACCGGCUAACUCUGUGCCAGCAGCCGCGGUAAUACAGAGGGUGCGAGCGUUAAUCGGAAUUACUGGGCGUAAAGGGUGUGUAGGUGGUUGGGUAAGUUAGAUGUGAAAUCCCCGGGCUUAACCUGGGAACUGCGUUUAAAACUGCUCGACUAGAGUAUUGCAGAGGGUAGUGGAAUUUCCAGUGUAGCGGUGAAAUGCGUAGAUAUUGGAAGGAACACCAGUGGCGAAGGCGACUACCUGGGCAAAUACUGACACUGAGACACGAAAGCAUGGGGAGCAAACAGG